rnacentral:rRNA from 2 species
GGGUUGUGAGGUUAAGCGACUAAGCGUACACGGUGGAUGCCCUGGCAGUCAGAGGCGAUGAAGGGCGUGCUAAUCUGCGAUAAGCGCCGGUAAGGUGAUAUGAACCGUUAUAACCGGCGAUACCCGAAUGGGGAAACCCAGUGUGAUUCGUCACACUAUCAUUAACUGAAUCCAUAGGUUAAUGAGGCGAACCGGGGGAACUGAAACAUCUAAGUACCCCGAGGAAAAGAAAUCAACCGAGAUUCCCCCAGUAGCGGCGAGCGAACGGGGAGGAGCCCAGAGCCUGAAUCAGCAUGUGUGUUAGUGGAAGCGUCUGGAAAGGCGCGCGAUACAGGGUGACAGCCCCGUACACAAAAGCGCAUGUGCUGUGAGCUCGAUGAGUAGGGCGGGACACGUGGUAUCCUGUCUGAAUAUGGGGGGACCAUCCUCCAAGGCUAAAUACUCCUGACUGACCGAUAGUGAACCAGUACCGUGAGGGAAAGGCGAAAAGAACCCCGGCGAGGGGAGUGAAAAAGAACCUGAAACCGUGUACGUACAAGCAGUGGGAGCACAGGUUUACCUGUGUGACUGCGUACCUUUUGUAUAAUGGGUCAGCGACUUAUAUUCUGUAGCAAGGUUAACCGAAUAGGGGAGCCGGAGGGAAACCGAGUCUUAAUUGGGCGUUAAGUUGCAGGGUAUAGACCCGAAACCCGGUGAUCUAGCCAUGGGCAGGUUGAUGGUUGGGUAACACUAACUGGAGGACCGAACCGACUAAUGUUGAAAAAUUAGCGGAUGACCUGUGGCUGGGGGUGAAAGGCCAAUCAAACCGGGAGAUAGCUGGUUCUCCCCGAAAGCUAUUUAGGUAGCGCCUCGUGAAUUCAUCUCCGGGGGUAGAGCACUGUUUCGGCUAGGGGGCCAUCCCGGCUUACCAACCCGAUGCAAACUGCGAAUACCGGAGAAUGUUAUCACGGGAGACACACGGCGGGUGCUAACGUCCGUCGUGAAGAGGGAAACAAUCCAGACCGCCAGCUAAGGUCCCAAAGUCAUGGUUAAGUGGGAAACGAUGUGGGAAGGCCCAGACAGCCAGGAUGUUGGCUUAGAAGCAGCCAUCAUUUAAAGAAAGCGUAAUAGCUCACUGGUCGAGUCGGCCUGCGCGGAAGAUGUAACGGGGCUAAACCAUGCACCGAAGCUGCGGCAGCGACGCUUAUGCGUUGUUGGGUAGGGGAGCGUUCUGUAAGCCUGCGAAGGUGGCCUGUGAGGGUUGCUGGAGGUAUCAGAAGUGCGAAUGCUGACAUAAGUAACGAUAAAGCGGGUGAAAAGCCCGCUCGCCGGAAGACCAAGGGUUCCUGUCCAACGUUAAUCGGGGCAGGGUGAGUCGACCCCUAAGGCGAGGCCGAAAGGCGUAGUCGAUGGGAAACGGGUUAAUAUUCCCGUACUUGGUGUUACUGCGAAGGGGGGACGGAGAAGGCUAUGUUGGCCGGGCGACGGUUGUCCCGGUUUAAGCGUGUAGGUGUGUGUUCCAGGUAAAUCCGGUUCACUUUAACACUGAGGCGUGACGACGAGGCACUACGGUGCUGAAGCAACAAAUGCCCUGCUUCCAGGAAAAGCCUCUAAGCAUCAGGUAACACGAAAUCGUACCCCAAACCGACACAGGUGGUCAGGUAGAGAAUACCAAGGCGCUUGAGAGAACUCGGGUGAAGGAACUAGGCAAAAUGGUGCCGUAACUUCGGGAGAAGGCACGCUGAUAUGUAGGUGAAGCGGUUUACCCGUGGAGCUGAAAUCAGUCGAAGAUACCAGCUGGCUGCAACUGUUUAUUAAAAACACAGCACUGUGCAAACACGAAAGUGGACGUAUACGGUGUGACGCCUGCCCGGUGCCGGAAGGUUAAUUGAUGGGGUCAGCGCAAGCGAAGCUCCUGAUCGAAGCCCCGGUAAACGGCGGCCGUAACUAUAACGGUCCUAAGGUAGCGAAAUUCCUUGUCGGGUAAGUUCCGACCUGCACGAAUGGCGUAAUGAUGGCCAGGCUGUCUCCACCCGAGACUCAGUGAAAUUGAACUCGCUGUGAAGAUGCAGUGUACCCGCGGCAAGACGGAAAGACCCCGUGAACCUUUACUAUAGCUUGACACUGAACAUUGAGCCUUGAUGUGUAGGAUAGGUGGGAGGCUUUGAAGUGUGGACGCCAGUCUGCAUGGAGCCGACCUUGAAAUACCACCCUUUAAUGUUUGAUGUUCUAACGUGGACCCGUUACCCGGGUUGCGGACAGUGUCUGGUGGGUAGUUUGACUGGGGCGGUCUCCUCCUAAAGAGUAACGGAGGAGCACGAAGGUUGGCUAAUCCUGGUCGGACAUCAGGAGGUUAGUGCAAUGGCAUAAGCCAGCUUGACUGCGAGCGUGACGGCGCGAGCAGGUGCGAAAGCAGGUCAUAGUGAUCCGGUGGUUCUGAAUGGAAGGGCCAUCGCUCAACGGAUAAAAGGUACUCCGGGGAUAACAGGCUGAUACCGCCCAAGAGUUCAUAUCGACGGCGGUGUUUGGCACCUCGAUGUCGGCUCAUCACAUCCUGGGGCUGAAGUAGGUCCCAAGGGUAUGGCUGUUCGCCAUUUAAAGUGGUACGCGAGCUGGGUUUAGAACGUCGUGAGACAGUUCGGUCCCUAUCUGCCGUGGGCGCUGGAGAACUGAGGGGGGCUGCUCCUAGUACGAGAGGACCGGAGUGGACGCAUCACUGGUGUUCGGGUUGUCAUGCCAAUGGCACUGCCCGGUAGCUAAAUGCGGAAGAGAUAAGUGCUGAAAGCAUCUAAGCACGAAACUUGCCCCGAGAUGAGUUCUCCCUGAGACUUAGAGUCUCCUGAAGGAACGUUGAAGACGACGACGUUGAUAGGCCGGGUGUGUAAGCGCAGCGAUGCGUUGAGCUAACCGGUACUAAUGAACCGUGAGGCUUAACCUUACAACGCCGAAG